AGCGAACGCUGGCGGCAGGCUUAACACAUGCCAGUCGAGCGGGCGUAGCAAUAUGUCAGCGGCAGACGGGUGAGUAACGCGUGGGAACGCACCUUUUGGUUCGGAACAACACAGGGAAACUUGUGCUAAUACCGGAUAAGCCCUUACGGGGAAAGAUUUAUCGCCGAAAGAUCGGCCCGCGUCUGAUUAGCUAGUUGGUGAGGUAACGGCUCACCAAGGCGACGAUCAGUAGCUGGUCUGAGAGGAUGAUCAGCCACAUUGGGACUGAGACACGGCCCAAACUCCUACGGGAGGCAGCAGUGGGGAAUAUUGGACAAUGGGGGCAACCCUGAUCCAGCCAUGCCGCGUGAGUGAUGAAGGCCCUAGGGUUGUAAAGCUCUUUUGUGCGGGAAGAUAAUGACGGUACCGCAAGAAUAAGCCCCGGCUAACUUCGUG
rnacentral:rRNA from 1 species